rnacentral:lncRNA from 13 species
GAUCUAUUGUACAACAUGGUGAUUAUAGUUAAUCAUUAACCAUAUUAAUUAUAUUACUAAUAUAUUAACAUGUAUACUUGAAAAUUGCUAACAGCACAUUUUCAAUGUUCUCAAGGCACACACACAAGGUAUUGAGGUAGUGGAUAUUGACUAGCCUGAUUUAUUCAUUCCACAAUGUAUACAUACAUUAAAACGUCAUUUUGCACACCAUACAUAUAUUUCAUUUUCAUUUUUCAAUUAAAAAUUAAAACUAAAAUUAUAUUUUUUUUUAAAAAAAAAGAAAGAUCCAAAACAAUUUUCUAAAUAUCUUUAUUUCAGAUUCUGAAACAGUUUUCUGCCUGCUGUUCCUCCGGGUCUUCUGCCUGCUGGGCUCUUUUCCUUGUUCAGCGACAUCCUUUAGGUCCCAUGCUCGUUCUUUUUAUUGUUUUCCUUUUUGUGAACUUGUAUUUGGCUUUAAUCCUUCCUCAGGAAAAACUCAGGGGUCUGGGGCUGGAGCCUGUCAACAGCUGCGUGUUCACAUGGAUGAGCCUUGGGUAGACUUGCUUCCCAGUCCUUAGCUAGAGCACAGCGUGGUGUGGAAGCGCCGGGCUCAGCGUCUGAUUUAAGCCGCUCUGCACCCUGAGGACACCGCCCUAGACCCCACGCCUCUACCCAGACUCAAAGCAAGAUGGUGCCAGGGAAGCACUGACUCCCCAGCAUGCACUGCGGCUGCCCGUUGUGGCAAGCGGAAACUACAAUCCCCAGCAUGCACCGCACCAGGGCUGCGCCUGCCUGGCGUCACGGGCGUGAAUUACAAUCCCCAGCAUGCACCGGAGCAGCGCGGGGGAUAUACAACCCCCUGCCUGCGGCGCGCGGCCUCCAGCCAGCACCUGUGCUCUGCUUGUUCUAUGCCUAAGCAGCUCCUGAGGGUGCAGGGGGUCUCUGGGGGGCAGGGUGAGAGGGGCGAUGGGAGAAGACUGUAUUCUGGCCACCCAAACCGCAGAAAAGCUGCCUGACUCCCUGAGGGUGAUGGCGGUGCACUGGCUGACAGUGCGCGGCAGGCAGGCAAACCCUCCGACCGUUUUAAAGCCAGCACAGCACGCGUUUUAAAACAUGGCUGCAGCAGCCUAGGGCAAGCAGAAUCCUUACGUAAUGCGGCCGUGUAUGCACAGCCAGCCGUUGUUUUAGGGGGAGUCACAGAUUGUGUUCCCUUUGCAUCCGGAACAGCUAGCCAGCGCCAUUUCAGUCUCCGGACGCCUGUAGCUUGGGAGGUGGGCGCCUGUAAGCCCGUGCAUCUAAAUGCAGAGACUGAGUUUCGCCAUAUUGCCCAGGCUGGUCUCAAACUCCUGAGCUCAAGCAAUCCACCCGCGUUAGCCUCCCAAAGUGCUGGGAUUACAGGUGUGAGCCGCCACUCCUAGCCAUGAACGUGCAAUCAAAUAUACAUAUACAAUAUAGUUUUUGAAAAUCUGUGACUCGGUUUGCUGAGGAAGUCCUCUGUGCCAAGCAAGAAGCCAAGUGCCAGAAAUGCUCAUGAAUAAGAGGUGUUUAUGAUUUAUGCUUGAAAAUCUCAUGUGGU